rnacentral:rRNA from 1 species
GGCUCAGGAUUAACGCUGGCGGCGUGCCUAAUACAUGCAAGUCGAAUGGUAGCAAUACCAUGGCGAACGGGUGAGUAACACGUAGGUAACCUGUCUUUAAGCCGAGGAUAACCAUUGGGAACGAUGGAUAAUACUGGAUAGGACAUUUGAAGGCAUCUUUAGAUGUUUAAAGAUUUAUCACUUAGAGAGGGGCCUGCGGCGCAUUAGCUAGUUGGUGAGGUGAAGGCUUACCAAGGCGAUGAUGCGUAGCCGGACUGAGAGGUUGAACGGCCACAAUGGAACUGAGAACGGUCCAUACUCCUACGGGAGGCAGCAGUAGGGAAUUUUCGGCAAUGGGCGGAAGCCUGACCGAGCAACGCCGCGUGAACGAAGAAGUAUUUCGGUAUGUAAAGUUCUUUUAUUAGGGACGAAAAGACAGAUUGACGGUACCUAAUGAAUAAGCUCCGGCUAACUACGUGCCAGCCGCGGC